rnacentral:rRNA from 1 species
AUGGAAGCUAUUGUGAAGGCAAGAAAAGAAGCCAACGAGGUGAGGAAAAUGGCAAGGAACCAAGAUGCCGCGGCCGAGGAGAGGAGGUUGGCGGCCGAGGAGAGGAGGGUGGCGGCCGAGGAGAGGAGGGUGGCGGCCGAGGAGAGGAAGGUGCCUUUGGAGGAGAGGAAGGUGAGCAAUGAGGAGCGGACUAGAUUGUUGGAAUGGGCACUUGUUCUUCUUGGACACAUCUAUCCUCAAUGA